AUUCAUCUGACGAGUUCUAAAUAGGAAGAAACGCACGUUCUGGAU
rnacentral:hammerhead_ribozyme from 1 species